rnacentral:rRNA from 1 species
UACGGGGGGGGCAAGCGUUGUUCGGAAUUACUGGGCGUAAAGGGCGUGUAGGUGGCCAACUAAGUCAGACGUGAAAUCCCUCGGCUUAACCGGGGAACUGCGUCUGAUACUGGAUGGCUUGAGUGUGGGAGAGGGAUGCGGAAUUCCAGGUGUAGCGGUGAAAUGCGUAGAUAUCUGGAGGAACACCGGUGGCGAAGGCGGCAUCCUGGACCAUUACUGACACUGAAACGCGAAAGCCAGGGGAGCAAACGGG